GUCUACAGCCAUACCACCCUGAACGUGUCUGAUCUCAUCUGAUCUCGGAAGCUAAGCAGGGUUGGGCCUAGUUAGUACUUGGAAGGGAGACAAACGUAGUCCUUGUUUACU
rnacentral:rRNA from 1 species